rnacentral:misc_RNA from 1 species
UUUCCGUAGGUGAACCUGCGGAAGGAUCAUUACAGUGUUCCCUGCCCUUCGGGGUAGGAUCGCCACCCUUGAUUAUUUAUGAGUGUUGCUUUGGCGGGCCUCGGGGCCUGGCAGCGCCCCGGCUUUGGCGGGGGGGCGCCCGCCAGAGUAAUUUACAAACCUGAUUAUUAGUGUCGUCUGAGUACUAUAUAAUAGUUAAAACUUUCAACAACGGAUCUCUUGGUUCUG